GUGAGCAGUGCGAACUGCGUCGCUCUUCCCGAUUCUCCCGACGUAAUUAUCGCGCGCGCUCAAAGACGAGUUACGUUAAUUCGCGAGUGUGUGCAUCGCGUCGGUGUCAAUCCCCUGAGCAACGAAAGCGUCUUGAAACUUCGCAGAUCUGUCGGAACUCGUGGGUAGCUUUCUGGUGGACACAGAUGCGGCAGCACCGGAGGAUCCGAUUCGAGCCGAGCAGAGCCGGAAAAUCUGAAAGCGGAACGUAGCUGGCUCUGAAUCGGUGAUAUCGGUAAGUCAGAAAAUUGAAUGUGAAAAUUGAGUAUUGACCGAUAUAUAGAUUUAUAUAUUAGUCAUAUUUAUAUAUUCGUAAUGACAAGCUUUUCGUGACGCUCGUUGAAAUCAAUGCUAUUUACGUCGCAUAUAAAUGUCUGCAUGCUAGUUUUGGUAUAUUCAUGUUUUAUUUUUGUAUGUUUAUGUUUUUUUUCGUACAAAACAUGUUGCUCGGACCAUUUGGGAAAUCGUUUUUUCAUCACAUUCCUAUGUUAUAUUCCGAGUCAGAAAUAACAAUGCACAAUAAAUUUUAUGAAUACUGACUUGUUAUUCUAACCGGACUACCUAAACCUUCUGUUUCGUUUGUCCUUCAUAUCAAAUACGCGUUCAAAUAUCUAUUUCAUCGCAAAAUUUCCAACAUCAAAAAAUAAUGAACGGAGUACGAGAAAAUAAAACGUAUUGGUUUAUUCAUUCAUUAGUCUGUUUAAUUUUCAACAAAUAUUGAAUGUUUCUCUCAUGAACAUAUCUGAUAUAUUUUGAUCUUUUUGGUAAAUAAUUAUUCAUACGUAUUACUUUAUCUGCUCUUAUGUUAUGAUACGAGUUACGAUUAGUCAGCGGGACUGUUCAUUCCGUACGAUUCCCUAAUUGUUUCGAGCGUUAUGUAAUGUGCAUUAAAAUUGCGCCACCAAUGCUAUACAUUAUCGCGUGUUCUAUGCAAUUCAUUCGCGUUAGAGAUUUCGCGAUCACCGCGAGAUUGUCGACCGUUCAGAUUUUUCAUACGUGCAUUCGCGUCGCA